rnacentral:lncRNA from 1 species
CAAAGCCUAGUAGUAUCUUGAUUCACCAAAGCAAACUCUCAUGCCAAGUAUGUGCAACAUCAAUGCACCAUCUCCAACUCUUCGUCUAGCUGCCGGAAACAUCAACACAAAACACGCAGCCGCUAGAAGAAGAACAAAGUAGUCCCCUUGAACUUGCUUCUCCCUUGAGAUGCUUUGGGCCUAGUUCUUGCUAACUCAAAAAAAGGGGCAACGAAGGCUUGAUUCACCACUCUAUGACGGUCCAAGAAUCAACAAUCCCGGACAAGCCUUCCAUUGGAAAAAGGCCCCAACACCAAGUAAAAAAGUUUAUAAAUUCAAAAGCGUUAUGAAAAAGUAGUUGUAGUUUUCCAGCUGUUAUUUAGUAGCUUGGCAUCCAAGUCUCUGAUCAAACAGCACUUCAAUUAAAUCUGACCAUUAGAAGGAAAAACCAUCAUAUAAAGAAACCGCACUGACUUUAUUUUCCCCUCAUAAAAUCCCAAAUUCACUUACUGUUCUUAUACAAUAAAUCACCAACCCCACUCGCUGAUUCUCAGAGCUAAAUUUAUUUUUAAAAUUUAGAAUCAUUCUUUGCAAAUUCAACCUGAUUGUUCAAAGAGUUUGUCCCACAUUAAAAAAAUUAAGGGACCUAGCAUCAGUUAUAAGGAAUUCGAGGACUCCCCUCUUUGCCAAUUAAUUUUGAGUGUGAAACCUUAACUUCAUUCACCGGUGAUAUUUCUCCAUUUGCUCAUGCACACAUCACAUUGCCAACAACUGUUUUAUUUUUUUUGGAAUACAUCCUCAUCAUGUUAGGACAUGCCAAGCAUACUCUUACUUUUCAUUUUUUUCAAAGGACUUGAUGAAAGUUUUUCCUCUUUCUUUGUACGCCUCUUAUUUUUCAUUUUUCUUUAAUAUAAGUGAUAGUCUAAACUAUAAGGGAAUGAGAGUUGCUCACACAUAUAAACUACUAAGAUGUCAUGGGGUUCAAACCUGAGACCACUGGUCUACAAAUCAAUGCCCUUUUUCACUAGGCUACACCUCUCGUUGGCUAUUUUUACUUUCUUUUAAGUUUUAAUGUUAGGCUUUUUGUCAAAGUUAGGAAGGGGGAGGUAGGAGAACCACACACACACGUACCAUGGGAGCUUGAAUGUAGGACCACUUGGGAGUACACCAAAG